rnacentral:rRNA from 1 species
AGCAGCCGCGGUAAUUCCAGCUCCAAUAGCGUAUAUUAAAGUUGUUGCAGUUAAAAAGCUCGUAGUUGAAUUUCGGGAUCAAUUUGUUGGUCGUGCCUCGGUACGUACUGGCAUUAUUGGUUUCUACCUUCUGAAGAACCUUGAUGUCAUUAAUUUGGUGUUUUGGGGAAUUUGGACUGUUACUUUGAAAAAAUUAGAGUGUUUAAAGCAAGCUAACGCUUGAAUACAUUAGCAUGGAAUAAUGAAA